CCUACGGGGGGCAGCAGUGGGGAAUAUUGCACAAUGGGCGCAAGCCUGAUGCAGCCAUGCCGCGUGUGUGAAGAAGGCCUUCGGGUUGUAAAGCACUUUCAGCGGGGAGGAAGGCGGUGAGGUUAAUAACCUCAUCGAUUGACGUUACCCGCAGAAGAAGCACCGGCUAACUCCGUGCCAGCAGCCGCGGUAAUACGGAGGGUGCAAGCGUAAUCGGAAUUACUGGGCGUAAAGCGCACGCAGGCGGUCUGUCAAGUCGGAUGUGAAAUCCCCGGGCUCAACCUGGGAACUGCAUUCGAAACUGGCAAGCUAGAGUCUUGUAGAGGUGGGUAGAAUUCCAGGUGUAGCGGUGAAAUGCGUAGAGAUCUGGAGGAAUACCGGAGGCGAAGGCGGCCCCCUGGACAAAGACUGACGCUCAGGUGCGAAAGCGUGGGGAGCGAACAGGAUUAGAUACCCUCGUAGUC
rnacentral:rRNA from 1 species